GACGAACGCUGGCGGCGUGCUUAACACAUGCAAGUCGAACGGAAAGGCCCUGCUCUUGUGGGGUGCUCGAUUGGCGAACGGGUGUGUAUCACGUGAGUAUCCUGCCCUUGACUUUGGGAUAACUUCUGGAAACUGGGGCUAAUACCGCAUAUGAUCUCCUGCUGCGUGGUGGGGGUUGGAAAGUUUCGGCCGUUGGGGAUGGACUCGCGGCUUAUCAGCCUGUUGGUGGGGUAGUGGCUUACCAAGGCUUUGACGGGUAGCCGGCCUGAGAGGGUGACCGGCCACAAUAGUACUGAGAUACGGACCAGACUCCUACGGGAGGCAGCAGUGGAGAAUAUUGCACAAUGGGCGGAAGCCUGAUGCAGCAACGCCGCGUGCGGGAUGACGGCCUUCGGGUGGUAAACCGCUUUCGCCUGUGACGAAGCGUGAGUGACGGUAAUGGGUAAAAAAGCACCGGCUAACUACGUG
rnacentral:rRNA from 1 species